rnacentral:rRNA from 1 species
UACGGGGGGGGCAAGCGUUGUUCGGAAUUACUGGGCGUAAAGGGCUCGUAGGCGGCCAACUAAGUCAUACGUGAAAUCCCCCGGCUUAACCGGGGAACUGCGUCUGAUACUGGAUGGCUUGAGUUCGGGAGAGGGAUGCGGAAUUCCAGGUGUAGCGGUGAAAUGCGUAGAUAUUCGGAAGAACACCAGUGGCGAAGGCGACUAACUGGACAUGUAUUGACGCUGAGGUGCGAAAGCGUGGGGAGCAAACAGG